AAAAUUAAAGGAAAACCUGUUUUGGAGUUACCAGAACGUAAAGUAUUUAUUCAGCACAUUACACUUUCAGAUGAAGAGAGAAAGAUUUAUCAGUCUGUGAAAAAUGAAGGCAGAGCCACUAUUGGAAGGUAUUUUAAUGAAGGGACUGUCCUGGCACAUUAUGCAGAUGUCCUGGGUCUUUUGCUUAGACUGCGGCAAAUUUGUUGCCAUACUUACCUUCUUACAAAUGCAGUGUCUUCCAAUGGCCCCUCAGGAAAUGAUACACCUGAAGAACUGAGAAAGAAGUUAAUAAGGAAGAUGAAGUUAAUUCUGAGCUCAGGUUCAGAUGAGGAAUGUGCAAUUUGCCUGGAUUCUUUAACAGUUCCUGUGAUAACACAUUGUGCACAUGUAUUUUGUAAACCCUGUAUUUGCCAAGUCAUUCAGAAUGAGCAGCCACAUGCUAAAUGCCCUUUAUGCAGAAAUGAUAUACAUGAAGAUAAUUUAUUAGAAUGUCCUCCAGAAGAAUUAGCACGUGACAGUGAGAAAAAGUCUGAUAUGGAAUGGACAUCCAGUUCAAAGAUUAAUGCGCUAAUGCACGCAUUGACUGACUUAAGAAAGAAGAAUCCCAACAUAAAAAGUUUGGUUGUUUCUCAGUUUACAACAUUCCUGUCUUUAAUAGAAAUACCACUUAAAGCCUCUGGAUUUGUGUUUACUCGUUUGGAUGGUUCCAUGGCCCAAAAGAAAAGAGUUGAAUCAAUUCAGUGUUUUCAAAACACUGAAGCAGGAUCUCCAACUAUAAUGCUUCUGUCCUUAAAAGCAGGUGGAGUUGGUUUGAAUCUGUCUGCAGCUUCUCGAGUGUUUUUAAUGGAUCCAGCCUGGAAUCCUGCUGCUGAAGAUCAGUGCUUUGACAGAUGCCAUAGACUUGGUCAGAAGCAAGAAGUUAUCAUCACAAAAUUCAUUGUAAAGGACUCUGUUGAAGAAAAUAUGCUG
rnacentral:lncRNA from 1 species